AUGGCACGCACCACCGGCUUGGGGCUCUUCAUCUGCGCCGUGCUGCUGCUCGCUGCCGCCGUGCCCUUGGAGUCGGCUAGGGUCUUGAGAGAAGCGCCGUCCGCCACUGGUGGCGCUGGCGUCACUGAGGUAUCCAUGAAGGUGCCCGGCGAGGGGCAGAGGCAGGUCGGCACGGCGGCAGAGUCCAAGCGCCUGAGCCCCGGGGGAUCGGACCCUCAGCACCAUUAG
rnacentral:rRNA from 1 species